rnacentral:rRNA from 1 species
GACGAACGCUGGCGGCGUGCUUAACACAUGCAAGUCGAACGCAGUGGCGAACGGGUGAGUAAUACGGGGGUAACCUGCCCUCCUUUUUGGGAUAAGCCUUGGAAACGGGGUCUAAUACCGAAUACAGGUGGAUGGGUUCGCGGCCUAUCAGCUUGUUGUUGGGGUGAUGGGCUACCAAGGCGGUGACGGGUAGCCGGCCUGAGCGGGUGACCGGCGACAUUGGGACUGGGGUACGGCCCAGACUCGGACGGGAGGGGGCAGUGGGGGAUAUUGAACAAUGGGCGACAGCCUGAUGCAGCGUGGCCGAGGGGGGGAUGAAGGCUGUCGGGUUGUAUACUUCUUGAGCAACAGAAAGGGUAGGUGGCGAAGAAGCGACGGCUAACUACGUGCCAGCAGCCGCGGUAAUUC